UACGAAGGUGGCAAGCGUUGUUCGGAUUUACUGGGCGUACAGGGAGCGUAGGCGGUUGGGUAAGCCCUCCGUGAAAUCUCCGGGCCCAACCCGGAAAGUGCGGAGGGGACUGCUCGGCUAGAGGAUGGGAGGGGAGCGCGGAAUUCCCGGUGUAGCGGUGAAAUGCGUAGAGAUCGGGAGGAAGGCCGGUGGCGAAGGCGGCGCUCUGGAACAUUUCUGACGCUGAGGCUCGAAAGCGUGGGGAGCAAACAGG
rnacentral:rRNA from 1 species